rnacentral:tRNA from 1 species
GUCCCGGUAGCUCAGUCGGAUAGAGCAACGGCCUUCUAAGCCGUGGGUCGGGGGUUCGAAUCCCUCCCGGGGCGCCA